rnacentral:rRNA from 1 species
UACGGAGGGAGCUAGCGUUGUUCGGAUAUACUGGGCGUAAAGCGCACGUAGGCGGCGUCGUAAGUCAGGGGUGAAAUCCCGGAGCUCAACUCCGGAACUGCCCUUGAAACUGCAAUGCUAGAAUCUUGGAGAGGCGAGUGGAAUUCCGAGCGUAGAGGUGAAAUUCGUAGAUAUUCGGAAGAACACCAGUGGCGAAGGCGACUCGCUGGACAAGUAUUGACGCUGAGGUGCGAAAGCGUGGGGAGCAAACAGG